rnacentral:rRNA from 1 species
UGAGGAAUAUUGGUCAAUGGACGAAAGUCUGAACCAGCCAUGCCGCGUGCAGGAUGAAUGCCCUAUGGGUUGUAAACUGCUUUUAUAUAGGAAUAAACCCCUUUACGUGUAAAGGGCUGAAGGUACUAUAAGAAUAAGGACCGGCUAACUCCGUGCCAGCAGCCGCGGUAAUACGGAGGGUCCAAGCGUUAUCCGGAUUUAUUGGGUUUAAAGGGUCCGCAGGCGGAAAAAUAAGUCAGUGGUGAAAUCCUAUCGCUUAACGAUAGAACUGCCAUUGAUACUGUUUUUCUUGAGUAUACUUGAAGUGGGCGGAAUGUGUCAUGUAGCGGUGAAAUGCAUAGAUAUGACACAGAACACCGAUUGCGAAGGCAGCUCACUAAAUUAUAACUGACGCUCAUGGAC